rnacentral:rRNA from 1 species
GAUGAACGCUGGCGGCGUGCCUAAUACAUCCAAGUCGAGCGAAUGGAUUAAGAGCUUGCUCUUAUGAAGUUAGCGGCGGACGGGUGAGUAACACGUGGGUAACCUGCCCAUAAGACUGGGAUAACUCCGGGAAACCGGGGCUAAUGCCGGAUAACAUUUUGAACCGCAUGGUUCGAAAUUGAAAGGCGGCUUCGGCUGUCACUUAUGGAUGGACCCGCGUCGCAUUAGCUAGUUGGUGAGGUAACGGCUCACCAAGGCAACGAUGCGUAGCCGACCUGAGAGGGUGAGCGGCCACACUGGGACUGAGACACGGCCCAGACUCCUACGGGAGGCAGCAGUAGGGAAUCUUCCGCAAUGGACGAAAGUCUGACGGAGCAACGCCGCGUGAGUGAUGAAGGCUUUCGGGUCGUAAAACUCUGUUGUUAGGGAAGAACAAGUGCUAGUUGAAUAAGCUGGCACCUUGACGGUACCUAACCAGAAAGCCACGGCUAACUACGUGCCAGCCGCCGCUGUAA